GGCACAUUUAUAAAAUUGAUUAUAUUCUGGUUAUAAAACAAGACUCUGAAUAAGCAAGAAAUUUAAAAUAUAUAACCAAUAUUUUACCAAAGAGUUGGAUAUUAAAAACAUACUUCUGAUCAUUAUGUAGGUCAAAGAUAAAGUCGCAAUGGGAAUUAGAAUUUUAUUAAUUGAAUGAUAAUGAAAAUAUGCCAUAACAAAACCUGGGGGUUGCAAACAAAGCUGUGGUCACAGAGAAGUUUAUGUAUUCAAAUUAUAUUCUCUAAAUGUAAAAGGGAAAGGAGUAAAGCAACUAGAAGAUAACCCAUCACCCUGAGGUGGGCAGCUUCUGAACUGUACCUGGUGGGGAAGGCAGGGCAGAACUUCAGGAGGCCAGCUGAGAGCACGGUGAACACCUUGUCAGGAGCAGUCUCCAAGAAAGAGCAUUUAAUGUACAAAGGGAUGACUAAAAUAUAUUUAAAAGCUAGCACCCUGACUCCUCUUAAGGAUGACUUACAUUGCUGGGGAAAAUAUAAGAAGUGCUCGAUGUAGAAGGUGAAUAGCUUUAUAAUUCUCAGGAGAACCUUCGUACCAGAACCACACAAUGAAGAACUUGGAGUCCCCGUGGCUAAUCCAGCAGAGAGAAAAGGAGAAACAGAGAUGCGAGAGAAAAUAAAUGGAACUCUUGGUGCUGCUGCAGGCCCAAGUCCAGACUCGCAGGCUCUCUGGACCUCUGAGGAGGAUAAGCACUACACAGAACCUCUGCUACAGAACCAAACAUAUUGAAAUGAUUCUUUACGAAGAUACUGAAACAACAGAAAAAGAAUACAUGACGAUUGUUUCUCCUGAGGGUUCAGUUACCUAGGGGGCCUUUAGCAAACUUUGAUUGAUAAAUCUAACCUUUCCUUCCUUGGCAAUAGUUGAUCACACUGUGAGGAAAACAAGUUAGAGAAUGGAAAAAUAAUAUUUGGAUUUCAACGAAAUAAUAAAGAUGCAGGGACUAUCUUUGACUUUUGCAAGAUUUCUGUGUGUGUGUGUCCCCAUGAUGAAAACAUCAUUAAAGUAAAAUAUCAUGAAUAGACUCUUAAGAAGCAGAGUCUACUUAAAGUCCUGGAAAAUAUGAAAGCACUAAUAUUCAUGGACAACUCUACACUCUGAAAGUUACUCCAAAUUUUGUUGAUCUCUAUCUUGUCUAGGAGUUUUUCAAAUUUCCUACCAUGAUCAUUU